GACGAACGCUGGCGGCGUGCUUAACACAUGCAAGUCGAACGGAAAGGCCCUGCUGUUGUGGGGUGCUCGAGUGGCGAACGGGUGAGUAACACGUGAGUAACCUGCCCUUGACUUUGGGAUAACUUCAGGAAACUGGGGCUAAUACCGGAUAGGAGCUCCUGCUGCAUGGUGGGGGUUGGAAAGUUUCGGCGGUUGGGGAUGGACUCGCGGCUUAUCAGCUUGUUGGGGGGGUAGUGUAUUACCAAGGCUUUGACGGGUAGCCGGCCUGCGAGGGUGACCUGCCCCAUUGGGACUGAGCUACGGCCCAGACUCCUACGGGAGGCAGCAGUGGGGAAGAUUGCACAAUGGGCGGAACCCUGAUGCAGCAACGCCGCGUGCGGGAUGACGGCCUUCGGGUUGUAAACCGCUUUCGCCUGUGACGAAGCGUGAGUGACGGUAAUGGGUAAAGAAGCACCGGCUAACUACGUG
rnacentral:rRNA from 1 species